GAUGAACGCUGGCGGCGUGCCUAAUACAUGCAAGCCGAGCGAACGGACGAGAAGCUUGCUUCUCUGAUGUUAGCGGCGGACGGGUGAGUAACACGUGGAUAACCUACCUAUAAGACUGGGAUAACUUCGGGAAACCGGAGCUAAUACCGGAUAAUAUUUUGAACCGCAUGGUUCAAAAGUGAAAGACGGUCUUGCUGUCACUUAUAGAUGGAUCCGCGCUGCAUUAGCUAGUUGGUAAGGUAACGGCUUACCAAGGCAACGAUGCAUAGCCGACCUGAGAGGGUGAUCGGCCACACUGGAACUGAGGCACGGUCCAGACUCCUACGGGAGGCAGCAGUAGGGAAUCUUCCGCAAUGGGCGAAAGCCUGACGGAGCAACGCCGCGUGAGUGAUGAAGGUCUUCGGAUCGUAAAACUCUGUUAUUAGGGAAGAACAUAUGUGUAAGUAACUGUGCACAUCUUGACGGUACCUAAUCAGAAAGCCACGGCUAACUACGUG
rnacentral:rRNA from 1 species